rnacentral:lncRNA from 1 species
AUCUUUAACUGAAGUAAUCUUAUUGGACAUAGUGCCCAUAAAAAAUUUUGGAAUGUAAUGUUGAAUUACUAACAAAUUCAUACAAUUUGACCGAUCCCAUCUUUCAAACUCCAUUUUUUCUUUAAGGGUACUAUCAGGAGCAAGUUGAGCGGAUGGAUCAACCUGUAAAACCCAAUCCAUAUCCAUAACUCCAAGAACAAGUCGAAUACUAUUUUUUCAUGUCUUGAAGUUUAUCCAUUCAACAUUAGGAUGGAAUUAACAUUCACAGUCAUAC